AGAGAGAGACAUGCGCGCAUAUCAAUAAGCGGAGGAAAAGGAAACUAACAAGGAUUCCCUUAGUAACGGCGAGUGAAGCGGGAAGAGCUCAAAUUUGAAAUCUUCAAGGUUCUACCUUGACGAAUUGUAGUUUAUAGAAGUGUCUUCUGUUAGUGGAUUUGGCUAAAAGUUCUUUGGAAUAGGACAUCAUAGAGGGUGAGAAUCCCGUAUUUGGUCAUUCCUCCUAGCGUUGUGAUACACUUUCAACGAGUCGGAUUGUUUGGGAAUGCAGUCCAAAAUGGGUGGUAAAUUUCAUCUAAAGCUAAAUAUUGGCGAGAGACCGAUAGCGAACAAGUACCGUGAGGGAAAGAUGAAAAGAACUUUGAAAAGAGAGUUAAACAGUACGUGAAAUUGUCAAAAGGGAAGCGUUUGACACCAGUGUUGUUUUUCCGAAAAUCAAUUACGAAUGUUUUAUUUUUGAGGAGUUAUGACUUCAUCGGCUUGCUCCUUUCUUUAUGAAACUUUCUUAAUGCACUUUUCGGUUAACAAGUCAACAUCAAUUUCUUUUGUUGUAAAAGGGUAUGAGGAAGGUGGCUUUCUUUUCGGAGAAAGUGUUUAUAGCCUUGUGCCUCUGCAAUCGGAGAGAUUGAGGUCUGCAGCGUAGAUCCUUCGGGGUUAGAUACGUUUGUGCUAAGUUAUAGCUUUCCAUAGACAACUUGUUGACUAUGUUUAGUCUUGUAGCUUACUCGCUGACGCUAUUUUACCUACGCUUAGGAUGUUGAUAGUCACAGCGUGUAC
rnacentral:rRNA from 1 species